AGCGAACGCUGGCGGAAUGCUUAACACAUGCAAGUCGCACGGGGGCUUCGGCCUUAGUGGCGGACGGGUGAGUAACGCGUAGGAACGUGUCCUGGACUGGGGGAUAACGCUGGGAAACUGGCGCUAAUACCGCAUAUCUCCUGAGGGAGAAAGCCGCGAGGCGGUUUGGGAGCGGCCUGCGUCCGAUUAGCUUGUUGGUUAGGUAAUGGCUGACCAAGGCGAUGAUCGGUAGCUGGUCUGAGAGGAUGAUCAGCCACACUGGGACUGAGACACGGCCCAGACUCCUACGGGAGGCAGCAGUGGGGAAUAUUGGACAAUGGGCGCAAGCCUGAUCCAGCAAUUCCGCGUGGGUGAAGAAGGUCUUCGGAUUGUAAAGCCCUUUCGGCGGGGACGAUGAUGACGGUACCCGCAGAAGAAGCCCCGGCUAACUUCGUGCCAGCCGCCGCGGUAAUAC
rnacentral:rRNA from 1 species